UUAACCGUAUAGGGGAGCCGGAGGGAAACCGAGUCUUAAUUGGGCGUUAAGUUGCAGGGUAUAGACCCGAAACCCGGUGAUCUAGCCAUGGGCAGGUUGAAGGUUGGGUAACACUAACUGGAGGACCGAACCGACUAAUGUUGAAAAAUUAGCGGAUGACCUGUGGCUGGGGGUGAAAGGCCAAUCAAACCGGGAGAUAGCUGGUUCUCCCCGAAAGCUAUUUAGGUAGCGCCUCGUGAAUUCAUCUCCGGGGGUAGAGCACUGUUUCGGCUAGGGGGCCAUCCCGGCUUACCAACCCGAUGCAAACUGCGAAUACCGGAGAAUGUUAUCACGGGAGACACACGGCGGGUGCUAACGUCCGUCGUGAAGAGGGAAACAACCCAGACCGCCAGCUAAGGUCCCAAAGUCAUGGUUAAGUGGGAAACGAUGUGGGAAGGCCCAGACAGCCAGGAUGUUGGCUUAGAAGCAGCCAUCAUUUAAAGAAAGCGUAAUAGCUCACUGGUCGAGUCGGCCUGCGCGGAAGAUGUAACGGGGCUAAACCAUGCACCGAAGCUGCGGCAGCGACGCUGAUGCGUUGUUGGGUAGGGGAGCGUUCUGUAAGCCUGUGAAGGUGGCCUGUGAGGGUUGCUGGAGGUAUCAGAAGUGCGAAUGCUGACAUAAGUAACGAUAAAGCGGGUGAAAAGCCCGCUCGCCGGAAGACCAAGGGUUCCUGUCCAACGUUAAUCGGGGCAGGGUGAGUCGACCCCUAAGGCGAGGCCGAAAGGCGUAGUCGAUGGGAAACGGGUUAAUAUUCCCGUACUUGGUGUUACUGCGAAGGGGGGACGGAGAAGGCUAUGUUGGCCGGGCGACGGUUGUCCCGGUUUAAGCGUGUAGGCUGGUUUUCCAGGCAAAUCCGGAAAAUCAAGGCUGAGGCGUGAUGACGAGGC
rnacentral:rRNA from 1 species